rnacentral:rRNA from 1 species
UCCCUUUCCUGAUGAAUCAUGAUGUCAUUAAUUUUUGAUGUUGUGGGGAGUCAGGACUGUUACUUUGAAAAAAUUAGAGUGUUUAAAGCAAGCACGCGCUUGAAUACAUUAGCAUGGAAUAAUGAAAUAGGACGUUCGAUUCUAUUUUGUUGGUUUCUAGGAUCAACGUAAUGAUUAAUAGGGAUAGUUGGGGGCAUUAGUAUUCAAUUGUCAGAGGUGAAAUUCUUGGAUUUAUUGAAGACUAACUACUGCGAAAGCAUUUGCCAAGGAUGUUUUCAUUAAUCAAGAACGAAAGUUAGGGGAUCGAAGACGAUCAGAUACCGUCGUAGUCUUAACCAUAAACUAUGCCGACUAGGGAUCGGAUGAUGUUAAUUUUUUAAUGACUCACUCGGCGCCUUACG